GAUGAACGCUGGCGGCGUGCUUAACACAUGCAAGUCGAACGAACCUUCGGGUUAGUGGCGGACGGGUGAGUAACGCGUGAGAAUCUGCCCUCAGGAGGGGGAUAACGGCUGGAAACGGCCGCUAAUACCCCAUAUGCCGAGAGGUGAAAUGAAUUUCGCCUGAGGAUGAGCUCGCGUCUGAUUAGCUAGUUGGUGUGGUAAUGGCGCACCAAGGCUUCGAUCAGUAGCUGGUCUGAGAGGAUGAUCAGCCACACUGGGACUGAGACACGGCCCAGACUCCUACGGGAGGCAGCAGUGGGGAAUUUUCCGCAAUGGGCGAAAGCCUGACGGAGCAACGCCGCGUGAGGGAUGAAGGCCUCUGGGCUGUAAACCUCUUUUAUCAAGGAAGAAGAUCUGACGGUACUUGAUGAAUAAGCCACGGCUAAUUCCGUG
rnacentral:rRNA from 1 species